rnacentral:lncRNA from 1 species
GUGCGGGAUAUAAUCUCGUGAUGCACCGUUUUUUAAGCCCGUCAGAAAAGCGCAGUAUUCGGGUGGGAGUGACCCGAUUUUCCAGGUGCCGUCCCUCACCCCUUUCUUUGACUAGGAAAGGGAACUCCCUGACCCCUUGCGCUUCCCGAGUGAGGUAAUGCCUCACCCUGCUUCGGCUCGCGCACGGUGCGUGCACCCACUGACCUGCGCCCACUGUCUGGCACUCCCUAGUGAGAUGAACCCGGUACCUCAGAUGGAAAUACAGAAAUCACCCGUCUUCUGCGUCGCUCACGCUGGGAGCUGUAGACCGGAGCUGUUCCUAUUCGGCCAUCUUGGCUCCUCCCCUCCGAAAAAUAACUUUCUAAAGCAGAUGAUGAGCUGCGUUCCUUUCAUUUUCUGCCAUGAUUAUGAGCUUCCUGAAGCCCUCAUCAUAAGCAGAUGUCAGCAUCACACUUCUUGCACAGCCUGUAGAACCGAGAGCCAAAAUAAAUUGAUUUUCCUUAUAAAUUACCCAGUCUCAGAUUUUUUUAUAGCAAUGCAAGAACAGACUAACUCACCAGAGACAGCUGUAAGACCAUGGGAUCAACUUAUUCAUAUCGCCCAAUGAAUAAUGGCUGCUUACACUGUAGUGUGGACUUGCAGUGGAGGACUUUCUUUGUUCAAAGCCACAUGCAUGCAGUUUUCAAUGGAAUUUGAUUUAAAUGGAUCAUUACUUACAGCCCUGUCUUCCAAGUGUUCAAAACACUGUUGCCGAAUCUCAAAGAGGUCUACCAUUUGUUGUGUUUCUUUCUGAGUGGUAAGAAGUACAAAUGGCACUAUCUCGUCUUUAAAUUUUCAAGGGACAUCCCAGUAUUCCACAAAAGUACUGAGUCCUCUGAAAUAUCACAUCUGUGGAAGACUCCGGUAUAAUUUUAUGGAUUUUCUUACAGUAGACCUAAAUCACCUGGAUAUUCUGCAAAAAAUCACAUUGAACAGCUAAAUUGAUAGUGUAAUGUUAACUACACCUGAUGAGAGGAAGUGGCAAGUACUCGGGAUGCCUUGAACACACACACACAAACACACACACACACACACACACACUCACACAACCAGCAUAAUUCUUGAUCAAGGCAGCUCCCAUUUGGUUGAAAAUUAACAAGUCAGUAAAUUUUCUGGAAAAGGAUGAGAAUCUCAGAUUUUAUCGGACAUUUAACAGCAGCUGGAAAUGGGUAAAUUGGACUGAUAAAAGGGAACCGCAUAGAGCACCAACAGUGUACAUGCAACAUGGUUAUGUAAUUAGCGAUCCGGGGCUGGACUCCAGGUAUUCUUACUCAAACCAUUAUUUUUAUUGUGUAAUGCAUGUAGUAUAUAUGUGUGUGUUGGGCAUAUGCUAAAAUUUUUAUUCACUUUUAUGUGCCAAUAAAACUACAUAUGAGUGA